GUUCUCGCUACUGACAAUGUUAUUCCCAUCCGUUUGCUUUUAUGUCUCUUCAAUAGAAUGCCAAGCCAAAGGAGCACUUUGAUGAAGCAUGCUGAAAGGAAGAGUCAUUUCAUCUGAUCCUGAAAUUUUCUUUCACUUUUGAAAGAUAUCAUAUUCAGUCAGUGAGUGAAGUAAACAGGGAGGUUGUGGGCAAAUCGAGGCCAAGCCAAACUCUGUAGCGAAAGGAGAGACCAAGCUGAAGAAGCAAAAGAUGUACCAGGACACGUUACUG